rnacentral:lncRNA from 1 species
AUGAAUGACUCAGGGAGGGAAGGCUGGACGAUUGAAUGGUGUAUUUGGCAGACGACUCGUUUAGACCCCCACAUCGAAGACUGUUUCGGGCCACUGAAUGCUCAUGAAAACCUUAAAGGAAAAAGCAGGGAAGGGAAGUUGGCCACAAAUCACUGCCAGGGCUUUGAAGAUAAAAAGAGCCUACUCUCCAUUGCCCAGGGUCAUGUUCUCUUUUGGGAAGAUUAUCCAGAUACUUUUUGUAUACCUGCCACCCGGAUCCCUCUUACUCUCUCUGAUUCUGGGCUUUGGGGCUUCUUGUUCAUUAGCAUUUUCUGUGUUGAGACUAGGAGGCUAGCUAGCAGAAGCAAGUAUAGGAAGAAGAAAGGCAGCAUUAUGAGUGCCAUGUUAAGUUAGGCAUAAAUUGAAAAUCCAAGAUGAAAUGAGCUUUUUUUGGCAUUAUUUGUCAAUUUCAAAUGUUUGAGCCUCCUGCCCUAAAAGUACAGAUAAAAAAUUUGAAAACGAGAAACAGAAAGAGACAAAGAAACAGAGAGACAGACGGACAGAGAGGAGGGAGGGAGGAAGGGAGAAACACAGAGAGAGAAGUCCUCAAAUCCUCAGAAAGGAAAAAAAUUGGUGUAAAGGUGACUUCAUCUUGCCUUAGAGUGAUUCUUGCCCUUGAAAAAAAAAAAGGUUUUAAAUGUAAAUUUAUAAUACUUUAAGGUUUGCAGAUUACUUUCCAUUUUUAUCUUAUUUGAUUCUCUGCAAUUCUGUUGAGAUAGGUACUAUUUUUAUCUCCAUUUUACAGAUUAAGAACCAGGCUCAGAGAGAUCAAGCAAUUUACCCAAGUGCCACAAAACUAGUAAAUGCCUGAAGUAAUAUUUGAAACCAAGGCUCCCUAAACGAACUCCCCUGCUGUGUACCAUUAUAAUCUUAGGGGUUCUGUUACCUGGCACUCACUGUAUAUGAGAGUAAUGAGAGGAACACCAUGAACCUGGGUCUUUUGGGUUCUCUCCUCAACCAGAGACUUGAGAAUAAACUGCAAAGAUGGUCAAUGAGAUGGUUCA